rnacentral:rRNA from 2 species
GCAGUCGAGCGGAUUGAUGGGAGCUUGCUCCCUGAUAUCAGCGGCGGACGGGUGAGUAACACGUGGGUAACCUGCCUGUAAGACUGGGAUAACUCCGGGAAACCGGGGCUAAUACCGGAUAACUCAUUUCCUCGCAUGAGGAAAUGUUGAAAGGUGGCUUUUAGCUAUCACUUACAGAUGGACCCGCGGCGCAUUAGCUAGUUGGUGAGGUAAUGGCUCACCAAGGCGACGAUGCGUAGCCGACCUGAGAGGGUGAUCGGCCACACUGGGACUGAGACACGGCCCAGACUCCUACGGGAGGCAGCAGUAGGGAAUCUUCCGCAAUGGACGAAAGUCUGACGGAGCAACGCCGCGUGAGUGAUGAAGGUUUUCGGAUCGUAAAGCUCUGUUGUUAGGGAAGAACAAGUACCGUUCGAAUAGGGCGGUACCUUGACGGUACCUAACCAGAAAGCCACGGCUAACUACGUGCCAGCAGCCGCGGUAAUACGUAGGUGGCAAGCGUUGUCCGGAAUUAUUGGGCGUAAAGCGCGCGCAGGUGGUUUCUUAAGUCUGAUGUGAAAGCCCACGGCUCAACCGUGGAGGGUCAUUGGAAACUGGGGAACUUGAGUGCAGAAGAGGAAAGUGGAAUUCCAAGUGUAGCGGUGAAAUGCGUAGAUAUAUUGGAGGAACACCAGUGGCGAAGGCGACUUUUCUGGUCUGUAACU